AGGGCUGUGUAGACUUUUAGUAUCUAUCGUAACGGGGGUGUGUAGACUUUUAGUAUCUAUCGUAACGGGGGUGUGUAGACUUUUAGUAUCUAUUGUAACGGGAGUGUGUUAGACUUUUAAUAUCCGUCAUAACUAAUAUCAUGAUGCAGGUUUUAGGCGUGCUGAGUAAGUUUGAUAAAGUUAAAUAUACUCUUACACACUCAGGCGUCUUUAGACUUCACAUCGAUAUUUAGAAGUAUAAGGUCCCUUCAUAUAAUAAUUUAGUGUCAAGACUGAAGUGUACAUUUUUGAUUUUUUUUCCCUCCCAAAACAGCAUGCACCACGAGCAUCUUGUUCCUCUUACACGCUAACAAUUUUAAUUUUUUUAAAAAAACGACACGCCCUAAUCUUAUCCGUUUACACAUAUAUGUAAUGUCAUGGGACGUCCACAAACGAGUUAGAGAGAGAGAGAGUCAGGCACAAUUCGAAGACGCUGAAGUCUCCUGCUUUCAUGAAAGCAUUAAAAGAUGACCCGAGGCGAUGAGAAAACGACUGAACGUUGAGCCGAGAGUGAGACGGGUCAUCCUGUGUUCACCCUGGACAGCGCACGAAGACAAAUGGACACCGGUUUCUGUAGCCAGUCAGAGAACACUCAUCUAUUAAUGCUAACCAAAAAAAAUCUUUCCCCAAUGCUAGAUCGACGUCAAUCUGUCCUGACCCAAAGGUCAAAGGCGAGCCUGUAAGAGGAAAAGAAGGAGGACUUCAUCGCCACAACAUGCGCUUAUCAGAACAUGCUGACAAACUGACAGAGACACAGAGAGACAAAGGGACACGCAGUUCAGGCAUAAUGGCCGUCAAUUAGCAGCGUUUAAGUGUUCGAGUCGAGGCAGAGAAGCGGCGGCGAGGGCGGAGGGCAAUAAAGACAAACAAGUGUCACAAAGAAAGCGCACAAAGCAUCCGCCGUCGAGCCGAGCGCACGGUUCCAUGUCCAAACGCCCGACAGUUAUAAAAGCACCGAUUCUGCUUCACGGUGUCAACAAAGACGAGGCGAGUCAUUACCGACGACUGAACGCACGCAGACGUGACGAGACCAUCUUUUGUCAGGGAAGGGAAGUAUCGGCACCCGACAGCUCAAUUCAUAUCCCCGAUUGAGACACAAUUUAUUCUCAUUACCUGCAGUCUAUCCUCAUAUUCUCACACACUCGAGCCAUUAGGCUACUGCCACAACAGAACAUAUCGUUUAUUGAUCCAAAACAUAAAUUCACUUAACGUAACCUGAACGUGAUUUAAUCCAGUAAACUCCGCUGGUCAUGAUCAGAUAAUACCUGUUUAAUCCAGUUCUGAUCUGCUGUAAAAUUUACAUGGAGUUGACGUGCAAAAGGUAAACGUUUUGAGAUAUAUAUAUAUAUAUAUAUAUAUAUAUACAUAUACCAGGAACUGCUUUAGUCCCAACAUUCAGCUGGAAUGAUCAGUUAUCAGUGGAUAUGACGCACUACUGCGCAGGGUCUUAAACUCCUCCCUGUUCUACGCUAUGUAUUGAGCAUGUAUAGUGAUUUUUUCUUUCUCUCUCUCUCUUUUUUUUUUUUUUACACGGAUCCCAAAUGUAUCACUAGCAAAGAGAACAUUUUGCUCGCAUCCGAAACGUGAUUAAAACGAUGACGUGAUUUUACUUAAAUAAGAUCUUGCCAUCUAUCAAAGGAGCGCAUCAUUUGCAUCUUGUAAACAAACAAACAAAAACAAACAAACAAAUACGAUACUUUUCAUCUUUUGCUAUUUAAGAGUAGAAAGAAUGCGUAGUAUUGCGUUAUCGAUACUGGGUCUGGGGCAAUAAAUAAAUGAUCGGCUCAUUAUAAUUCAAACAACACACACACACACACACACACACACACACACACACACAGACAACAACAAACACCCCCAAGAAAGAACUAACUUAACCUCAAAAACGCUCGCCAACAUCUGGGACAAAGCCGAGGCAAUGUGAGGGAAAACAGACAGACGGAGGGAAAUGGAAGAUAGAAGGCCAGAGGAAAGUCCCAGUAAGCCUGUGUGUGUGUGUGUGUGUGUGUGUGUGUCCGCUCUCCGUCUCGCUGGCAGCAGCUGAAAACAGGUCGAUCGAUGGCUUUACUGGAGGAAUAUUUAAUCAGAGAGCGGUCCAGCACACUGCUCAGCUGUGCACUCCCAACACAGUCACAUUAUUAUGCUGAAAGGAGUUCCAGUGUGUUCACACACACACACACACACACACCCACACACACACACGAACAGAACGGACGAGGGGAAUGACAAAACAGCCACGGAAGAAAGAAACGCCUAAAUGUCGACCAUUACACAAGUAUGUUUAAUAAUGUCCUGGAGAGUAGGGUAAACAAAAAAAGGAUGUUAUACACAUACGUCCCGGAGGGGAGAAAGAAAAAGAUAGAGAGAGAACGAAAGACUGGGCCGUCAAAACAAGCCGGCGAGAAAACAAGCAGCAGACAACAGGAGUGAUUAAAGGGAGGAUGAAUUCCUCCGUCCUCUCUCCGAUUCAAACAUCUUCCUCCUUCGGCACAGAGCCAUCAGCCGUCCACCGUGCUCUUCUCUUCCUUCUUCUCCAUGUCUCUAUUACGAAACAGCACCACUACACCUGAAC
ensembl:lncRNA